rnacentral:rRNA from 1 species
AACGAACGCUGGCGGCAUGCCUAACACAUGCAAGUCGAACGAGACCUUCGGGUCUAGUGGCGCACGGGUGCGUAACGCGUGGGAACCUGCCCUUAGGUUCGGAAUAACUCGCCGAAAGGGGUGCUAAUACCGGAUAAUGUCUUGGGACCAAAGAUUUAUCGCCUUUGGAUGGGCCCGCGUUGGAUUAGCUAGUUGGUAGGGUAAAAGCCUACCAAGGCGACGAUCCAUAGCUGGUCUGAGAGGAUGAUCAGCCACACUGGGACUGAGACACGGCCCAGACUCCUACGGGAGGCAGCAGUGGGGAAUAUUGGACAAUGGGCGAAAGCCUGAUCCAGCAAUGCCGCGUGAGUGAUGAAGGCCUUAGGGUUGUAAAGCUCUUUUACCCGGGAUGAUAAUGACAGUACCGGGAGAAUAAGCUCCGGCUAACUCCGUG